ACCCUCGAAGACGAUGUGCUGGUCUCAUACAUGCUACGAGGCCUCGGAUCUGAAUUUGACCCUCUAGUGGCGAGCAUCACUACGUGUGCAGAUGCCAUGACUGUAAGUGAUGUAUACGCUCAUAUGCUUGGUUUUGAGC